ACCUCACGAAAAAAUGAAUCCAUUCCACAAGCAAGAAAGCAUUCCAGGACGGAGCGUGUGUCCAGAAGUCCUGUCCGUCAGCAGACAUCACUGCCUCCACCACCUGCAUAUGAGUCAACACCACACAGGAAACCAGUCAGUCGCCCAGAGCUGGAUGGGUCUAUUAUAACGCAAGCUCGGCCUGCCACUUCAUCUUGGGACCCGGUUGAAGAACUCAUCACACAGGAGAUGGAAAUGAGAG